CCUACGGGGGGCAGCAGUGAGGAAUAUUGGUCAAUGGACGAGAGUCUGAACCAGCCAAGUAGCGUGAAGGAUGACUGCCCUAUGGGUUGUAAACUUCUUUUAUAAAGGAAUAAAACGAGGCACGUGUGCCUUUUUGCAUGUACUUUAUGAAUAAGGAUCGGCUAACUCCGUGCCAGCAGCGGCGGUAAUACGGAGGAUCCGAGCGUUAACCGGAUUUAUUGGGUUUAAAGGGAGCGUAGAUGGGUUGUUAAGUCAGUUGUGAAAGUUUGCGGCUCAACCGUAAAAUUGCAAUUGAUACUGGCAGUCGUGAGUACAGUUGAGGUAGGCAGAAUUCGUGGUGUAGCGGUGAAAUGCUUAGAUAUCACGAAGAACCCCGAUUGCGAAGGCAGCUUACUAAACUGUGACUGACAUUGAUGCUCGAAAGUGUGGGUAUCAAACAGGAUUAGAUACCCCUGUAGUC
rnacentral:rRNA from 1 species